ACAUCCAUCUGAAACAUUUCAUUUUUGUUGUCUCAUCCCACGAGGUAGAAAUCUAACUGGAUGCUUCUCAAGAAGCAUGGCAGUGCUUCCUCACUACCCCUCAGGACUCCCCACCUCACCCACAGCACACCCAAGACACCCCACAAAUGCACACAGAGGAGAGACAACCCUUAAUUUCAUUCCACUCAAUUCCGUUCCGGUUGGUUGCCCAGAAUUCAGUUUCCUUCAGUCAUCUCUAGGUGUCAUCCGAGAGGAGCCUCUUCAGGCUCGAUUUUCAGCACAGACGCGGGCAUUUGGCGGGCCUGGGGAGGCUAGGAUGCUGGGGGCUCUGCCUUCGCUGCUGGUGUGGAGUCUGAGCUCCUCCCCAUGCUGGCCCCAGCCGUCUCCUCCCCAUGCAGCUGGGGCCGGGGCAAGUGGCACUCCGGGCAGAGGGGAGCUCCUCCCCCAGCGUUCUCAUCCGCAGUGAAAGAGAAUUGCCCUCUGUGAUUGUACAUAGAAUCUGCCAGCAAGAGCCGCCCGAGAGAACAGACAAUGGAGCUCUAUGUACCUCUGCAGAAAAAGAACAAAAAUUCCUACACUUCAAUGUUAACUUCUGGGAUCCGCAGCCACCCCAGGGCAUCCUGGAGAUCACCCAACACAGAAGACAUCUUCAGAGCUUAAAUUAGCUUGCAAAUAUCAAAAAGAUGUGCGUGGAUCCCAGGAGUCCCAGUGGACCAACCACCGCCAGCUGUGGACUGCCCGCCGGCUCCACACCGCAGCUCAGAUGUGCUGCUUUCCAGGUGUUUAGUCCACGACUACAGAGCUGAAUGAACAUCAGGAUCGGCCUGUGAUGGGAAUCGCAGCUGCACACAGUCAGGAGAGAUGAUGCUCGGUCCUAGAUGUGUUUGCUGAGUGAGGGGGACACUCCCCCAAAGCAAGGAAGUCGCUGAAUCUCCUGAGACCCCAGAGAGGCCCAGGCAAGGCUGGGAGGUGUGGGCGUCUGCCUGGGGUCAGUGGUGUUGGCCAGGUUACAAUCUCAACCUAAAACUUCAUGCUAAUCAUCUGAACUCCGAACAUUUUUCCAAAGCUAAAAUUACCUUUCAAAGGAACGUAGUUCUAGUGUUUGAGACACCUACAAUUCCUUCUUAAAUAAAAUUCAAUCUCUCAACCAACCACAAUUCCUACUUUUUUAAAAAGCACAUAAAGAAAAACAGUGUUAAUGAACCCUCUUAAAUUCAGACGCACAGGGUCUCUUCUUUGGUGCUUUAUUUACA